rnacentral:rRNA from 1 species
AUCAUGCAGUCGAGCGAACAGAAGGGAGCUUGCUCCCGGAUGUUAGCGGCGGACGGGUGAGUAACACGUGGGUAACCUGCCUGUAAGACUGGGAUAACUCCGGGAAACCGGAGCUAAUACCGGAUAGUUCCUUGAACCGCAUGGUUCAAGGAUGAAAGACGGUUUCGGCUGUCACUUACAGAUGGACCCGCGGCGCAUUAGCUAGUUGGUGGGGUAAUGGCUCACCAAGGCGACGAUGCGUAGCCGACCUGAGAGGGUGAUCGGCCACACUGGGACUGAGACACGGCCCAGACUCCUACGGGAGGCAGCAGUAGGGAAUCUUCCGCAAUGGACGAAAGUCUGACGGAGCAACGCCGCGUGAGUGAUGAAGGUUUUCGGAUCGUAAAGCUCUGUUGUUAGGGAAGAACAAGUGCGAGAGUAACUGCUCGCACCUUGACGGUACCUAACCAGAAAGCCACGGCUAACUACGUGCCAGCAGCCGCGGUAAUACGUNAGGUGGCAAGCGUUGUCCGGAAUUAUUGGGCGUAAAGGGCUCGCAGGCGGUUUCUUAAGUCUGAUGUGAAAGCCCCCGGCUCAACCGGGGAGGGUCAUUGGAAACUGGGAAACUUGAGUGCAGAAGAGGAGAGUGGAAUUCCACGUGUAGCGGUGAAAUGCGUAGAGAUGUGGAGGAACACCAGUGGCGAAGGCGACUCUCUGGUCUGUAACUGACGCUGAGGAGCGAAAGCGUGGGGAGCGAACAGGAUUAGAUACCCUGGUAGUCCACGCCGUAAACGAUGAGUGCUAAGUGUUAGGGGGUUUCCGCCCCUUAGUGCUGCAGCUAACGCAUUAAGCACUCCGCCUGGGGAGUACGGUCGCAAGACUGAAACUCAAAGGAAUUGACGGGGGCCCGCACAAGCGGUGGAGCAUGUGGUUUAAUUCNGAAGCAACGCGAAGAACCUUACCAGGUCUUGACAUCCUCUGACAACCCUAGAGAUAGGGCUUUCCCUUCGGGGACAGAGUGACAGGUGGUGCAUGGUUGUCGUCAGCUCGUGUCGUGAGAUGUUGGGUUAAGUCCCGCAACGAGCGCAACCCUUGAUCUUAGUUGCCAGCAUUUAGUUGGGCACUCUAAGGUGACUGCCGGUGACAAACCGGAGGAAGGUGGGGAUGACGUCAAAUCAUCAUGCCCCUUAUGACCUGGGCUACACACGUGCUACAAUGGACAGAACAAAGGGCUGCGAGACCGCAAGGUUUAGCCAAUCCCAUAAAUCUGUUCUCAGUUCGGAUCGCAGUCUGCAACUCGACUGCGUGAAGCUGGAAUCGCUAGUAAUCGCGGAUCAGCAUGCCGCGGUGAAUACGUUCCCGGGCCUUGUACACACCGCCCGUCACACCACGAGAGUUUGUAACACCCGAAGUCGGUGAGGUAACCUUAUGAGCCGCCGCGA